UUCCUUUUAGCUUAAUAUAAAAGUAUCAGUUUGAAGGUCUGGAGAUAUCAUUAUGUGUUAGAGG
rnacentral:tRNA from 1 species